rnacentral:rRNA from 1 species
AGUUUGAUCCUGGCUCAGGACGAACGCUGGCGGCGUGCUUAACACAUGCAAGUCGAACGGAAAGGCCCUGCUUUUGUGGGGUGCUCGAGUGGCGAACGGGUGAGUAACACGUGAGUAACCUGCCCUUGACUUUGGGAUAACUUCAGGAAACUGGGGCUAAUACCGGAUAGGAGCUCCUGCUGCAUGGUGGGGGUUGGAAAGUUUCGGCGGUUGGGGAUGGACUCGCGGCUUAUCAGCUUGUUGGUGGGGUAGUGGCUUACCAAGGCUUUGACGGGUAGCCGGCCUGAGAGGGUGACCGGCCACAUUGGGACUGAGAUACGGCCCAGACUCCUACGGGAGGCAGCAGUGGGGAAUAUUGCACAAUGGGCGGAAGCCUGAUGCAGCAACGCCGCGUGCGGGAUGACGGCCUUCGGGUUGUAAACCGCUUUCGCCUGUGACGAAGCGUGAGUGACGGUAAUGGGUAAAGAAGCACCGGCUAACUACGUGCCAGCAGCCGCGGUGAUACGUAGGGUGCGAGCGUUGUCCGGAUUUAUUGGGCGUAAAGGGCUCGUAGGUGGUUGAUCGCGUCGGAAGUGUAAUCUUGGGGCUUAACCCUGAGCGUGCUUUCGAUACGGGUUGACUUGAGGAAGGUAGGGGAGAAUGGAAUUCCUGGUGGAGCGGUGGAAUGCGCAGAUAUCAGGAGGAACACCAGUGGCGAAGGCGGUUCUCUGGGCCUUUCCUGACGCUGAGGAGCGAAAGCGUGGGGAGCGAACAGGCUUAGAUACCCUGGUAGUCCACGCUGUAAACGGUGGGUACUAGGUGUGGGGUCCAUUCCACGGGUUCCGUGCCGUAGCUAACGCUUUAAGUACCCCGCCCGGGGAGUACGGCCGCAAGGCUAAAACUCAAAGGAAUUGACGGGGCCCCGCA